rnacentral:rRNA from 1 species
AUUGAACGCUGGCGGCAGGCCUAACACAUGCAAGUCGAGCGGAUGAAGGGAGCUUGCUCCUGGAUUCAGCGGCGGACGGGUGAGUAAUGCCUAGGAAUCUGCCUGGUAGUGGGGGAUAACGUCCGGAAACGGGCGCUAAUACCGCAUACGUCCUGAGGGAGAAAGUGGGGGAUCUUCGGACCUCACGCUAUCAGAUGAGCCUAGGUCGGAUUAGCUAGUUGGUGGGGUAAAGGCCUACCAAGGCGACGAUCCGUAACUGGUCUGAGAGGAUGAUCAGUCACACUGGAACUGAGACACGGUCCAGACUCCUACGGGAGGCAGCAGGGGGGAAUAUUGGACAAAGGGGGAAAGCCUGAUCCAGCCAUGCCGCGUGUGUGAAGAAGGUCUUCGGAUUGUAAAGCACUUUAAGUUGGGAGGAAGGGCGGUAAGUUAAUACCUUGCUGUUUUGACGUUACCAACAGAAUAAGCACCGGCUAACUUCGUG